AACACUCCUACGCGUGCUUUGAAUAGUACACACAUAUAUAUAUAUAUAUAUAUAUAUAUAUAUAUAUAUAUAUAUAUAUAUAUAUAUAUAUAUAUAUAUAUAUAUAUAUACUAUUCAAAGCACGCGUAGGAGUGUU